UACGUAGGGUGCAAGCGUUGUCCGGAAUUAUUGGGCGUAAAGAGCGUGUAGGCGGCCCGAUUAGUCCGCUGUGAAAGUCCAGGGCUCAACCCUGGAAUGCCGGUGGAUACUGUCGGGCUAGAGUCCGGAAGGGGCGAGUGGAAUUCCUGGUGUAGCGGUGAAAUGCGCAGAUAUCAGGAGGAACACCAAUGGCGAAGGCAGGUUGCUGGGCUGAUACUGACGCUGAGGCGCGAAAGCCAGGGGAGUGAACGGG
rnacentral:rRNA from 1 species